GGUCACGAGAACCGGUGCGAAGCCCUGGCUGGCCGGUCGGCAACCCUCCACCGCGGUGGGGUGCUCCAGGUGACGACCCGGCCGGCGUCGACCGACGUCCGGCAAGUGCGGAGA
rnacentral:ncRNA from 2 species